AAGCGUGUCUAGCUACUUGGGCUCACAGAUUCUGUCAAGAUCAUGGCUGGCUGCUGAGUUGUUGUUUCUCCAAUAGGUGUGCGCAAAUGGCUCGUCGGUGCUUCCUGAUUGGGAGAUGGAGGCCAACAUCAUGGAGUUCUACGGUGUUAGGGUUAUUCAUUGGAGUUCUGCUGGAGAAGCAAAUUGUGGUAAUAUGCCCAAAUCUGGGUGUCCUGUCUGCAAUUGUUUUGUUAGUUAUACUGAUGACAAGGUCGUUCCAGUGGCAAAGUAUAUUGCUUCUGUAAGUCCUGUAAGAUUUAAGUUUAUCUUAAAACAAACCAUCUUGGGAUGAUCUAAGUGACUUCAUAUAUAGAGAAUAAACAAUACCCAAAUUUGACUUGAUAAGGACACAAACUCAUUUCCUCAAUUUCUAUCAUGUACCCAUUUUUGGAAAAAAUAUCACAUUUAUAACUCCUAAUGUUCACUUGUAGUUUCUUUCAGGAAGACGAUACUAAUAUGGAUGUUGAUGUUGUGGCUCCGAUUUCAAUCAAACAUGGUCUCCUUGAGAUUGAAAUAUAUUGCUACUUGCUUGUACUGAUUUUUCUUAUUGAUUAGAAGAAAUACGAUGAGGUACAUCGAAAACGCGGAUUUUCCUUAUGUUUGACGUGUAAAAUAAUAUUUUGACUGCUUUUGUAUUAAGGCUAAAGCAUGUGCAAGUGUGAGCAUUGCUCGCCUGAAGAACUGUUGAUGUCUUGGCAUCACGUCUGUACUUUUAUUACUCUUAUGUGUACGAGCUUACUAACAGACUUGCUGAA